rnacentral:rRNA from 1 species
UACGUAGGGUGCGAGCGUUUGUCCGGAAUUAUUGGGCGUAAAGGGCUCGUAGGCGGUCUGUCGCGUCUGCUGUGAAAACCUAGGGCUUAACUCUGGGCGUGCAGUGGGUACGGGCAGGCUAGAGUGCGGUAGGGGGAGACUGGAAUUCCUGGUGUAGCGGUGGAAUGCGCAGAUAUCAGGAGGAACACCGGUGGCGAAGGCGGGUCUCUGGGCAGUAACUGACGCUGAGGAGCGAAAGCGUGGGGAGCGAACAGG